rnacentral:lncRNA from 1 species
AACGUUUGGGCUGUGAUGAUAACUUGUUAUUUGGGCCACAUCUGUACCGAGCCCAAUUUUAUAUCUGAGCCCCAUUUUCAUUAUCUCCCUUGGGUCGUUUGACCCGACCCAAUGCCUCAUGUAUAUAUACUUGUACCUCAGAUAUUUUGGGUACCGGAUUUCAUUCUUUCAUUAUUUUUCUGUAUUAACAUUUCUCUCAUUUCCAGAGAGUUCCAAACGCUCUGUCUUCUCUCUUCUUUCUCUCUCUAUAUUUUCUAUGAUUUCUCGGUCAAAUAUCAAUGUUUACAUGGUAUCAGAGCCGAGACGACGAUCCGAUCAUGUUUCUCUAUAUCUCGUUGUCUUGGUUGAACUCUUUUCUGAGAUUUUUUGGGGAUUUUUCUGAGACCUUAUGUUCGAUGAUGCUUCUGACCUAAAUCAGAUGCUUUUCGGAGUUUUUCGUCAUGAUAUCUGAGUGUAUUUUCUUCACCCGAACAUUCUGAGAGUUUUUCUGCUGAUUU